AUGAAUUUAUUGAUGGAAAAUCGAUUUAGUUUAAUUCGAUAAUUCGAGAAGUUAUUUUAAAUUUUAAUUCGUGAUUUUAGGUUUCGAUGUGAACUCAAGGAUUCAGUUUUGUUCGGUUCUAUUCGGAUGGAAUCGGGCUUUGUUGAAUAAUGCAAAUUUAGUUGCAAAUUUUUGAGGUUACGUGCUACCGAGAAAAUUAAUGUACUGCGACUGACCGUUCGAUCCAACGGAGCCAACAACUGCAAAGGGAUUUAACACAAUGCAAUCUAGUUGUGCAAAGGUCCUCCUAAAGGUCCUGAGAAAGUCGAGCCACUGGAAGUCUGGUCUGGCUCCCAGAAGAACUAUCCUUCCAUUAAUUGUGUCAUCUCGAUUUUAAAGUGUUGUUCCAUUUAUGUAAGUCUUUGUCAUUAUCUUCUUUAUAAUAAGAAGCAGAAUUAGAAGAAACUCUGUGACUGGGGAACGAUAUGAAUGAAAGUUCGAAUUCCAUAACCCGAAGAAAACAACAAUAGCCUCACAAAAACGAGGUGAACAAGAUAAACAUCUUAUGGGAUUGGCGACAUUGAUUUGAAAUGUCAAAUUAGAACUUAAAAGGAGAUUUAACAAGAAAAAGGUUAGUUUCACUUAGAUUUUCUUUUAUAAAUUGGAUUUUUUUAAUUUAUCAGUAUUAACCGAGUAGUAAACGUAAUUAUCGUAACUGUUUAUUUUACUUUGUAACUGGGUUAAAGAAUUAAUGCGCUAAUCUCUUAUAAAUAAAAAAAAAAUGUUACAAAUGAAAGAAAAGUUAU